GACGUAGGGGACGAGCGUUGUCCGGAUUCAUUGGGCGUAAAGCGCGCGUAGGCGGUUUGGUAAGUCGGAUGUGAAAACCAGAGGCUCAACCCUCAGAGGCCGACCGAUACUGCCGGGCUAGAGUCCGGAAGAGGCGAGUGGAAUUCCUGGUGUAGCGGUGAAAUGCGCAGAUAUCAGGAAGAACACCAAUGGCGAAAGCAGCUCUCUGGGACGGUACUGACGCUGAGACGCGAAAGCGUGGGGAGCGAAACAGG
rnacentral:rRNA from 1 species